rnacentral:rRNA from 1 species
GNNNNNUAGCGGUGAAAUGCAUAGAUAUCACGCAGAACUCCGAUUGCGAAGGCAGCUUGCCAAGCCAUAACUGACACUGAAGCACGAAAGCGUGGGUAUCAAACAGGAUUAGAUACCCUGGUAGUCCACGCAGUAAACGAUGAUUACUAGGAGUUUGCGAUAAAAUGUAAGCUCUACAGCGAAAGCGUUAAGUAAUCCACCUGGGGAGUACGCCGGCAACGGUGAAACUCAAAGGAAUUGACGGGGGCCCGCACAAGCGGAGGAACAUGUGGUUUAAUUCGAUGAUACGCGAGGAACCUUACCCGGGUUUGAACGCAGUCCGACCGCCGAUGAAAGUCGGCUUCUAGCAAUAGCGGAUUGCGAGGUGCUGCAUGGUUGUCGUCAGCUCGUGCCGUGAGGUGUCGGCUUAAGUGCCAUAACGAGCGCAACCCUUGCCGUUAGUUACUAACAAGUUAUGUUGAGGACUCUAGUGGGACUGCCAGCGUAAGCUGUGAGGAAGGCGGGGAUGACGUCAAAUCAGCACGGCCCUUACAUCCGGGGCGACACACGUGUUACAAUGGCGUGGACAAAGAGCAGCCACUUGGCGACAAGGAGCUAAUCUCCAAACCACGUCUCAGUUCGGAUCGGAGUCUGCAACUCGACUCCGUGAAGCUGGAUUCGCUAGUAAUCGCGCAUCAGCCAUGGCGCGGUGAAUACGUUCCCGGGCCUUGUACACACCGCCCGUCAAGCCAUGGGAGCCGGGGGUACCUGAAGUCCGUAACCGUGAGGAUCGGCCUAGGGUAAAACUGGUGACUGGGGCUAAGUCGUAACAAGGUAACCA